CCUCGAUCCCAGGCCGAGUUUUCGCUUUUAUAACGGUUAGGCGAACAACUGGGCCUGGUACUAGUUGUCUGCGCAUGCGUCAAUCGUUCGUCAGAUUCUGACGAAUGGAUAUUCUCGUUCACUUUCGUGACAUUUAUAUUCGUGUACUAUCGUGUACUAGAAGUCAGUUCCCGUUUUAUCAUUAUUGGAAUCGAUUGGAAUGGCUCUUAGCUGAAGCUUCUCUCUUCUCUGAAGCUUAUGCUGAAGACUGAACAACAAGGGAAGAGGUAUAAAGCUUUGUCAAGCUUGUUAAGGUCAGAUAUUUUUGUGUGGGCCCUAUGGCCGGCUAUGCUAUCAAGUCUUGUUCAUGUUUGGCAAGAAUGUAGGUAGACUAUAGUUUCAUCAUUAAUAUGGUGGAUCAACUGAAGAGUGUGAGCUAGAGAACUUGGUGCUGCCAUCAUCAGCUCGUCGACAAUGACACUAUAACCGAGAAAUUUAAUAUGUAUAGAUCUACACGUAUUUAAAAUGUCUACUUCUCUGUACAGGAGCAAUGGCUAAUAUCCAGCUAUCCCAACAGUGCUCCUCUUGGCUAUACUAACGGACGAGACUGGACAGUUUGAGACACAGGACUGGAGUAUGACCUGCUCAUUCGAGCGUUGCUGGGUAGCUCAGAGACAUCAAGAGAAUCUACGUUUUCUCAAGCAAUGAGUUACGAGUUGGGGCCUAGAAUCAGAGAAGUCCAGCAGCCUGCUAAAUCUUUUUGAAACGUAAUUUGAAGGCAUUCAAUCAUCCUGGAGUUGCCCUGGGUCACUGUAAUUGUGCUGCAGCACAACUGGCAACUCCCCAGGCCUUUGUGAAGCAGCUUCCUAUGUGCAUCUUUUGUGUACUCACUCUGUGCAUUUUCUGUGUACAAAUUUCAAUUAUUGAUUUAUUAAAUAUUUUUGCCGACCACAAAUAUACAAUGAAAAUUUGACGCA